UGGGGAAUAUUGCACAAUGGGGGAAACCCUGAUGCAGCAACGCCGCGUGAAGGAAGACGGUUUUCGGAUUGUAAACUUCUGUUCUUAGUGAAGAAUAAUGACGGUAGCUAAGGAGCAAGCCACGGCUAACUACGUGCCAGCAGCCGCGGUAAUACGUAGGUGGCAAGCGUUGUCCGGAAUUACUGGGUGUAAAGGGAGCGCAGGCGGGAGACCAAGUCAGCUGUGAAAACUACGGGCUUAACCUGUAGACUGCAGUUGAAACUGGUUUUCUUGAGUGAAGUAGAGGUUGGCGGAAUUCCGAGUGUAGCGGUGAAAUGCGUAGAUAUUCGGAGGAACACCGGUGGCGAAGGCGGCCAACUGGGCUUUAACUGACGCUGAGGCGCGAAAGUGUGGGUAGCAAACAGGAUUAGAUACC
rnacentral:rRNA from 1 species